CAGUGUGAAUCCCUGGAAGGCAAGAUCGCCAUUCUGGUCUCUUGUGGAUAUCAAUGCUGAUCUCAGCUUCUGAUGCACGGCAGUCAAUUAAUAAAUGAUUGUUGCCUGAAAAACUGAGCCCCAAAACAAUAUUACAAGUUUAAUAUCAGUAAAGGAUUUAAUGCUUUCUAACAUGAAGAUACCAGAAGUUGCUGAUUUUUGUAUAACCCAGAGAUGGAUUUAAAUGCAGAGUGUAUGAACUUCUUCAUUCCUGAGGGAGGACUUAUGAUUUCAUGAGAAAUGCCCUAGGAAAGGGGCCGGGGAGACUGAUGGAGAAGAAGAGUUUGGGAGGGAAGCCCCAAGGACCAUCUGCCCCAUCAGAGUCACAUGCAGAGGGUCCUGCUCCUGCCGUUGGAAGUUGGCUUCCUGAGCUGCUGAACGUGCCAGUCCUGCUGACCCACUCUCAGAUAUCACAGGCACCCGCUGUGUCUGACAGAGACCUUUCUGCAAGUACACGUGCAGGUCUGCUCUGCAAAGGCGUUAUCAUCUGCAGAUUAUUGCACAGAGUGGCUACGAGCUGUGGUGUGAUCCUGUCACAGAGAGAGCCUGGUCACGUUUUCAGAACAGCAGGAAACAGGUACACCUGUAAGCUUAUACUUAUCAGAUUUAAAAAUAAAACAAAAAAUCCAUGCUAUUCCAUGAAAAUCGGACUCAAAUAAACUUAGUCACUGAUCUGUGAAGUAAAUAAUCUGAUGGUAAUGCAUCAGUUGACACUUGGGCCUGGGUUUUUAGGCACUAAUGAAAGCCAGGGGCAAAAUAAUUUUUAAUCUACCAUUAUUUCC
rnacentral:lncRNA from 1 species